AAAUUGAAGAGUUUGAUCAUGGCUCAGAUUGAACGCUGGCGGCAGGCCUAACACAUGCAAGUCGAACGGUAGCACAGAGAGCUUGCUCUCGGGUGACGAGUGGCGGACGGGUGAGUAAUGUCUGGGAAACUGCCCGAUGGAGGGGGAUAACUACUGGAAACGGUAGCUAAUACCGCAUAACGUCGCAAGACCAAAGUGGGGGACCUUCGGGCCUCACACCAUCGGAUGUGCCCAGAUGGGAUUAGCUAGUAGGUGGGGUAACGGCUCACCUAGGCGACGAUCCCUAGCUGGUCUGAGAGGAUGACCAGCCACACUGGAACUGAGACACGGUCCAGACUCCUACGGGAGGCAGCAGUGGGGAAUAUUGCACAAUGGGCGCAAGCCUGAUGCAGCCAUGCCGCGUGUAUGAAGAAGGCCUUCGGGUUGUAAAGUACUUUCAGCGAGGAGGAAGGCGUUGUGGUUAAUAACCACAGCGAUUGACGUUACUCGCAGAAGAAGCACCGGCUAACUCCGUGCCAGCAGCCGCGGUAAUACGGAGGGUGCAAGCGUUAAUCGGAAUUACUGGGCGUAAAGCGCACGCAGGCGGUUUGUUAAGUCAGAUGUGAAAUCCCCGGGCUCAACCUGGGAACUGCAUUUGAAACUGGCAAGCUUGAGUCUCGUAGAGGGGGGUAGAAUUCCAGGUGUAGCUGUGAAAUGCGUAGAGAUCUGGAGGAAUACCGGUGGCGAAGGCGGCCCCCUGGACAAAGACUGACGCUCAGGUGCGAAAGCGUGGGGAGCAAACAGGAUUAGAUACCCUGGUAGUCCACGCCGUAAACGAUGUCUACUUGGAGGUUGUGCCCUUGAGGCGUGGCUUCCGGAGCUAACGCGUUAAGUAGACCGCCUGGGGAGUACGGCCGCAAGGUUAAAACUCAAAUGAAUUGACGGGGGCCCGCACAAGCGGUGGAGCAUGUGGUUUAAUUCGAUGCAACGCGAAGAACCUUACCUGGUCUUGACAUCCACGGAAGUUUUCAGAGAUGAGAAUGUGCCUUCGGGAAC
rnacentral:rRNA from 1 species